rnacentral:piRNA from 1 species
UCAGAUGAAAGGUCCCAUCUGGGCCAUUAG